UCCUAAAAAUGAUGAUACACUUUAUUUUAUGCAUAGUUCAACUGAAUUACUAAAUCAUGUUAGAUACAAUAGCCAUCAUGUCUUUCGCUCCUAUCUGAUCUUAAAU
rnacentral:snoRNA from 1 species